rnacentral:rRNA from 1 species
CUUGGUCAUUUAGAGGAAGUAAAAGUCGUAACAAGGUCUCCGUUGGUGAACCAGCGGAGGGAUCAUUACCGAGUUUCUACUCUCAAACCCUUGCAAACCUACCUGUAACGAUGCUUCGGCGACCGGCCCUCGGGGGGGCGUCACAAACGGUCGCCGAUAGUAUUCAAAAAUCAAUUUUUUUCAGAAUCCUCUGAAUGACCUAAAAAAACAAAUCAAAACCUUCAACAACGGAUCUCUUGGUUCUGGCAUCGAUGAAGAACGCAGCGAAAUGCGAUACGUAAUGUGAAUUGCAGAAUUCCGUGAAUCAUCGAAUCUUUGAACGCACAUUGCACCCGGUGGUAUUCCGCCGGGUAUGCCUGUCUGAGCGUCAUUUCUACCCUCAAGCAACUUGCUUGGUGUUGGUGGAUUACUCCCUCAGCGGAGUAACCACUGAAAAUGAAUGGCGGUAGUACACUUGUCCCCUGUACAGUACAAUUCUUACAGAGAGUCAUUUGGGCGAACCAGCCUCACUACCAAAACUUUUCCAGUAAAGUUGACCUCAGAUCAGGUAGGAAUACCCGCUGAACUUAAGCAUAUCAAUAAGCGGAGGA